GUAGGUGAACCUGCGGAAGGAUCAUUAACACGUUAUCCACGUAUCAACACCACUCUGAACUAUGCUCCCUGUUAGAAGACCUCAAGGAUUCCUGUGCUUGACUAUUGUGGGCUUAUCGAGUUUCGGCUCGGUGAGCACGUCAUGCUUGCAGGAUGUGUCGUAUCCCCGGAGCCGAGGGCGAAUCCGAGAAACUUUCUAACAGGCUUAUUGAUUCUCUUGUCCGCCAACCGCAUUGGCCGAUGAGACGACA
rnacentral:misc_RNA from 1 species